GCCUCACGCUCGUAUGAACUUUAUUUGCAGUUGAUCUCGGAAGCUAAGCACGGUUAAGCUUGGUUACUACUUGCAUGGGAGAUUGGCCGGGAAUAUCAGGUGUUGUAGGCG
rnacentral:rRNA from 1 species